rnacentral:lncRNA from 1 species
UCUGUCUGCUCCACCACGGCACGCAGCUCCUCCAGCUCAGCCUGCAGCAGGUUGUUGCGCCGCUCCACGAUGGCGAUGUUCUCCUUCAGGUCGUCGUUGGCACGGACCGCAUCCUCUGGAGGCUCUUGACUUGCUUCUGGGCCUCGGCAGCCAUGCGGUUGGCGUGGCUGAGCUGGAUCUCCAUCUCAUUGAGGUCUCCUUCCAUCUUCUUCUUCACCCUCAGGGCCUCGUUGCGGCUGCGUGUCUCUGCGUCCAGGGAGGUCUGCAGCGAGUCCACCACCCGCAGGUGGUUGCGCUUGGCCUGUUCCAUCUCCUCUGCGUGGGCCAGGGCGUUCUUCGCCUGGGGAGGGGUGGGCACCAGGAGGUGGGUUCAGCUUUCUCCAUAAAGCAACCCCACCCUUGCCCUUCUCCUCACC